UUGAAUUAUCAUUUCAAAAGGCAGCUAUAUGUUGCACUGCUAUGCACCGUGGCGCAGCAUUGGCAGCAAUGUCAUUUAUGUCAUGUUUCCUGGAGACUGGCUUAAAUGCUUUGGUUGAAUCCCUUGCUCAUUGUCCUGAGCUGGAAGGCAUAGUUGGUAUUUCUGAUAGUUCAAUUGAUGCUAUGGCAAUUCAAGUCAUAUCUCACAGCGGCGAUGGCCUAGUGUCAAACCUAAUGUAUGCUUUACUUGGUGUUUCUGCAAUGUCAAGGGUUCACAAGUCUGCAACACUUUUGCAGCAAUUGGCUGCUGUGUGCAGUUUAAGUGAAAGAACCACCUGGAAGGCUCAUCUUUGUUGGGAUUCCUUACAUGGAUGGCUCCAUUCUGCAGUACACAAUUUACCAGCUGAGUACCUAAAACAUGGUGAAGUAGAGUCUUUGGUCCCUCUCUGGAUUAAAGCACUUGCUGCUGCUGCUUCGGAUUGUAUUCAGAGCAGGCGAAACGUUGGAGGAACAAGUGAUUAUGGGCAUAUGCAAGGUAAAGGGGGGAGAAUUCUGAAGCGUUUAGUGAGAGAAUUUGCUGAUGGGCAUCGCAAUUCUCCAAAUUUUACUUGAAAUUUGAGCAAUUGCUGCCAUAGGUUCAAUAAUAUUGGAACUGCGGCAUCUUCAUUCUAUUUAAGUUGAGUUUUGUCCUGGAAUGCAGAAUCAUUCUUCUCAAGGAGUCUCAACUUCUUAGAGAAUUUGUGC
rnacentral:misc_RNA from 1 species